rnacentral:rRNA from 1 species
UACGGGGGGGGGCAAGCGUUGUGCGGAAUUACUGGGCGUAAAGGGCUCGUAGGCGGCCAACUAAGUCAGACGUGAAAUCCCCAGGCUUAACCUGGGAACUGCGUCUGAUACUGGAUGGCUUGAAUUCGGGAGAGGGAUGCAGAAUUCCAGGUGUAGCGGUGAAAUGCGUAGAUAUCUGGAGGAAUACCGGUGGCGAAGGCGGCAUCCUGGACCGACAUUGACGCUGAUGAGCGAAAGCUAGGGGAGCAAACGGG